AGUAUCACAACUAGUAUUACAUAUAGAUAUUCAAGACAAGGACUAAUCUAGUCGGAAGAGACGUGCCGAAUACAAUCAUACUCGAACUUCGCUUACAGAUUCACAGAUCGAUGUUUUGCAAUGGUCAAUCACUACUUCGCAAUUAUCACCUUGAGCAUGGAAUUUGGGAAUAUUGUCAUAAUUACAAUCGAUCACAGUAUACCUUCAGAAGAGGCUUUUAUUAUAUUCGAAAUUGAAACAACUUACUUGUCGAUUCAUCGAGUGAAAAAAAAACCUGUUUCAGGUAAUACAAAACCGUAGCCUUCAGCACAUACCACAACGCACCGAAUCCCUUCCUGCAGAACGGAGCAAUCGCUGUGCCCAUUUGUUGGAGAUGGAACGUUUUCACAUGCAUCUAAAUUGUAAUUUGCGUAAAAAUGGUGUGUGACUUUUACUAAUCUCCAGAGGAUGUCCAGAGUUGUCAUAAAAUACAGGCUCGUCCCAAGUAAUAUUUAUUGCCAUCGACUUGUUCUCAAGUAGAAAAAUAGGAGGAUCAACGCAGUUUUCAACAGUGGGUGGUUCCUUGUCUGUAAAAUAUCUGAUUACGCAUUUGAACAGAAAACAAAAUGCAUUAUUGGUUAAUGUUAGAACAAUAUACCAGAUUUUUACCUAUAA